rnacentral:rRNA from 1 species
AACGAACGCUGGCGGCAGGCUUAACACAUGCAAGUCGAACGCCCCGCAAGGGGAGUGGCAGACGGGUGAGUAACGCGUGGGAAUCUACCCAUCCCUACGGAAUAACGCAUGGAAACGUGUGCUAAUACCGUAUACGCCCUACGGGGGAAAGAUUUAUCGGGGAUGGAUGAGCCCGCGUUGGAUUAGCUAGUUGGUGGGGUAAAGGCCUACCAAGGCGACGAUCCAUAGCUGGUCUGAGAGGAUGAUCAGCCACAUUGGGACUGAGACACGGCCCAAACUCCUACGGGAGGCAGCAGUGGGGAAUAUUGGACAAUGGGCGCAAGCCUGAUCCAGCCAUGCCGCGUGAGUGAUGAAGGCCUUAGGGUUGUAAAGCUCUUUCACCGGAGAAGAUAAUGACGGUAUCCGGAGAAGAGGCCCCGGCUAACUUCGUG